GACAAACUAGUUUGACAAACCAGAUACCAGUUAGAUCUCAACUUUUACUCUAAUUUGCUUCUAUGUCAAUGUGAAUUGAUUGGGAAUGUGCUUGAGGUCAUAAUUAAAUACAAUAACAUGCAUGACAGGUCCAAAUCACACAGAAUGAGCAUCAGAAUGAUCUAGAAUGUGCUUCGUCAAUCUGAGACUGUGCAUCUUUGUACAUGUUUUAUGAGAUGUGUUGUGUGUUUGCUCUGUGCUCCAGCGCGGUGUAAUUAGGCCAUUGUCUGUUCUGAACUCCACUGUUAAAGCUCCAAGAGGUCAUUCUCCUCAUGGAGUAAUAAAUGGACGAUUCUUUGAGGCCUUGUUGCAGCUUUUGGGCCACUGUGGUUCAUAAACAAUUACUGAGCUCAAAUGCAGGCAAGAGGGAGAUGCUGCUGUUUGUGACAGAAGGGGAACAGGAGAACUGU